UACAGAGGUCUCAAGCGUUGUUCGGAUUCAUUGGGCGUAAAGGGAGCGUAGGUGGCGGGGUUAGUCAGGUGUGAAAUCUCGGGGCUCAACCCCGAAACUGCACUUGAUACUGCCCUGCUAGAGUACUGGAGAGGAGAUUGGAAUUUACGGUGUAGCAGUGAAAUGCGUAGAUAUCGUAAGGAAGACCAGUGGCGAAGGCGAAUCUCUGGACAGUUACUGACACUGAGGCUCGAAGGCCAGGGGAGCAAACGGG
rnacentral:rRNA from 1 species